UUUCCCGCGGAAUUUAAGCAUUUCCAUUAGGCGGGAGGAAAAAGGAACCCAACAGGGAUUGCCCUAGUAACGGGGAGUGAAGCGGCAACAGCUCAAAUUGAAUCGGCUUCGCCGAAGUUGUAUUUGUAGAGGAUUUUAUGUGCGUACCUCCGAGUUUCCUGGAACGGGCGCCACAGAGGGUGAGACCCCGUCUGGUUGGAUACUAACCUGUGUAAACUCCUUCAACGAGCCGAGUAGUUGGGAAUGCUGCUCUAAAUGGGAGGUAAUCUCUUCUAAAGCUAAAUACUGGCCAGAGCCGAUAGCGCACAAGUAGAGUGAUCGAAAGAUGAAAAGCCCUGAAAAGGGGGUUAAACAGUACGUGAAAUUGUUGAAAGGGAAGCGUUUAUGACCAGACUUGUGCCGUGUGGCUCAUCCGAGGUUCUCCCCGGUGCACUCCACACGGUUCAGGCCAACAUCGGUUUUCGCUGGGGGAUAAGAACAGUAGGAACGUAGCUCCCCUCGGGGAGUGUUAUAGCCUAUUGUACGAUACCCUGGUGGGGACCGAGGACCGCGCUUCGGCUAGGAUGUUGGCGUAAUGGUCAUUAGCGACCCGUCUUGAAACACGGACCAAGGAGUCGUCCAUUAGAGCGAGCGUUUGGGUGUAAAACCCGCACGCGUAAUGAAAGUGAAAUUAGGUGAGAGCUUCGGCGCAUCAUCGACCGAUCCUGAAGUUUACGGAUGGAUUUGAGUAAGAGUUUUAACGGACGGACCCGAAAGACAGUGA
rnacentral:rRNA from 1 species